CUUAUCCCUCGGGGAAAAUGUAAAUCCCUUAUAAAUAACAAAAACCGCAUCCUCAUCUCUGUCUGUUUCAAGGCUUUGAAUUAAAAAAAAGGAAUGGCUUGCAAAACGAUCCUGCGCUCUGUUUUCCCAUCGACUUCCGCCGCAACCAGAUGCUUCUUCUUCUUCCCUCCUUGUCUCUCGACGGUCCGUGGUUUGUUCCCGGCGGCAAAGAGUCCAAGUUUCAAUGGUUUUGCCUCUGUCCCUCGUCUCAACUGCACUCUCAAUAACGAUGAAUCCGAGCAAGGCCCGCCUCAAGAAGCUGUUCUCAAGGCCAUUUCAGAAGUGUCCAAGACUGAUGGCAGAGUUGGGAAAACAACUAACAUGAUUAUCGGAGGCACUGUGGCUGACGAUUCUGCUCGAGACUGGCUCCUACUUGACCAAAAGGUCAAUACUUACCCAACAGAUCGAGGGUUUACUGCGAUCGGGACUGGUGGCGAUGACUUUGUGCAUGCUAUGGUUGUUGCUGUUGAGUCUGUUAUUGAACGUCAAAUCCCUCUGGAUUGUGUAAAGCAGACAUUAUCAAGCAAAGGCAAAUAUGUGUCGGUGAAUAUUGGCCCUAUUCGAGUUGUCUCUAGCGAACAGGUACAAGCGGUGUAUAAUGCAAUGAGGAGAGACGAAAGAAUGAAAUAUUUCUUGUAGGUUUUAAGGUGUGGUAGAAUCACAGGGUCUGCCCCUCUUCUCUCUUUUCCACUGCGACUAUGUAAAUUAUGCCGUAGUUGGAAGAGGUGGUUCUAAGAAAGUAGUGGAGAGGGACCAGACUCUUGAGGGAAAAAAAGAAACUCUUGGACUGUUAUUUAAUCCUGUUUGGAUACAGAAACGGUUGAAA